rnacentral:rRNA from 1 species
UACGUAGGGGGCAAGCGUUAUCCGGAAUUAUUGGGCGUAAAGCGCGCGCAGGCGGUUAAUUAAGUCAGAUGUGAAAGGCUACGGCUCAACCGUAGAGUUGCAUUUGAAACUGGUUAACUUGAGUGCAGGAGAGGUAAGUGGAAUUCCCGGUGUAGCGGUGGAAUGCGUAGAGAUCGGGAGGAACACCAGUGGCGAAGGCGGCUUACUGGCCUGCAACUGACGCUGAGGCGCGAAAGCGUGGGGAGCGAACAGG